CAUUAAUGAAUGUAUAAAUGUACAGUAUUUACGUAUGCAUUUUUCUUACUAAUGUUUUUUAUUCCUGUUGGAUGAACGAGCUUUUGUAUAAGAGCAAUUCUGAGAAGAAAGGGAGAAGAAAAUGAAUGUGUUAUGUAAAACAUUGUUUUAUUUUUCUGUCUUGCUUCAGAGAAAGGAGAUGUAUCCUCUGGCAGCAUCUUGCUCUGUCCAUUUUUGCCCGUUAGCAGAAUUACCCACCUGGUGAGGAGCACAUUGGAGAAAUCCGUGGUACAUUUAGAUGGGAGGGGUGAACAAACGAGAAUCCACUAUACUGAGAGACAGUGUACACAUUUCAUAAAUUCUGUACCCAUGAUACUAAAAAAAGCACAAUUAUUAAGGCCUCAGUAGCCUCUUCCAUGACGCGUAGUACGCCUGAUAAGUAAGAAGGCAAAGUCACAGUGUGACCCAACCGAUCCACGAGAUCUUCAGUGAGUCAACGCAAUAGGCAAAUUUCAGAAGUGGAAAUAACAGAAUCCACUCUGGUUAGUUUAAGCAUGACAUGGAUUUGUUAGAGAACAUUGGGAAUCUCACAGAAUCUCUGAAGAGAAUCUAAUUUACCUGGCAUACCUUUGGUGAGAGGAAACUCAAUCACAUUUGCCGUGUUCUACUUUCUACUUAUUGAAAUUCUGUGCUCAUUUUGGGUGCAAAUCAAGUCUCACUUCCUCCCGGAAACCUCUUCUGGCUCUCUCAGUCCUGACUCAUCUCACAGAAGUCUGGUACUUAGAGAUGUAAGAGGCUUCAGAGACAUUCAAUCCAACCUUGCACGCAGUGGGACCUGGAGUAUCCCAGGAAGAAUGUCAUUCGGCUUCUGCUUACCUUCACCUAGAGAAGGACAGAGCUUUGCCUGCCAGCAGAGGAACCUCCUCAGAUGACUUCCUCUUACCCUCGUAACUUCCCCUCAGAUGGGUCAGGAGACAGGAGGCUUCCUUUGCUUCAAGGGAAUCUGUCAUGGUAGAACCAGGUGACAAAGGCUGCAUACUCUGAUUUUCAAUUUCAAAAACUAUAACCAGGAGUGAGACUGAUGGAUCAGGAAAAAAAUGUAGUCAACUCAUUUCUUUCCAUUACCUUUGUCUUUUUCUAUCACAAAUAUGUGGAAAUAUGACAAAAGUUUUAUUAGGACCUAUAACAAAAGAAAACUCCCAAUUACAACAACAAUAACAAAAAUUAUCAAAAAAUAGUCCGGGCAUGGUGGUUCAUGCCUGUAAUCACAUCACUUUGAGAGACUGAGGCAGGCGGAUCACCUGAGGUCAGGAGUUCAAGACCAGCCUAGCCUGGCCAACAUGGUGAAACCCAGUCUCUAUUAAAAAUACAAAAAAAAAAUAUAUAGCUGGGCAUAGUGGUGCAUGCCUGUAAUCCCAGCUACUUGGGAGGCUGAGGCAGGAGAAUCCCUUGAACCUGGGAGGCAGAGGUUGCAAUGAGCCGAGAUCACGCCACUGCACUCCACCCUGGGUGACAGCAUGAGACUCCGUUGGAAAAAAAAAAAGGACAAAACCACCCUAAAUUAUCAAGAAAUAAAUUUCAAAAGAAAUGUACAGGUCUAACAUACAAAAAUUAGUAUAAAAAUGAGUUUACAGAGGUUCAUAAAGGAAGACAAGAAGGCAGAAAUAAAUGUAGAGAGAGAUACGUCUUUUGGGUGACAGGAAGACUUACUACUACCAAGAGGCUAAAUCUCCCUAAAUGAACUUGUAACGUUCAGGCACUCUCAAUCAAAAUCUCAUCAGGAUUACUUGUGGAACCUGACAGUAUCAUCCCAAAGAUCAAAUGGAAGAGCAAACAUGCAGGAAUAUUGAGGAAAUUCUGAGUUGAGAAGUAUGAGAAAACUUGACGACAAAUCAAAACUAUUAUGAAGCUGUACAAAACUGGUGCGGGAAUAAAAAUCCAGAUCAAUGGAACGGAAUAGAUAUCUGAAAUAAAUUCUAAGGCAUAUGAAAGUUUUGUUUCCCCAGAUUUACUGCAAUAAUUUCCCAAUUUUAAAAACUAUAGUCUCCUAUCUCUUUUAUUAAUCCCUUUCUAGCCUUUCUCCCCAAGACAACCAGAGUCAUUGCCUAAAAACAUAAUAGGGUUAUAUAUAAACCUGUGGCUUAAAAGCUUUCAAUGGUUUUCCUUGCACUUGGAAUUAAAUCCAUAUUCCUACACUGAGUGGCCAGACCCGCUACUCCCGCUAACCUCUCUCACAGCAUGCCUCUCCACGCUCAGCAUGUCUCAGCCACGCUGGCCAGUUUCCUUCCUCCACAGAGCCAAGUUCUU
rnacentral:lncRNA from 1 species